rnacentral:rRNA from 1 species
CGGCAGCACGGGGGGUAACUCCUGGUGGCGAGUGGCGAACGGGUGAGUAAUAUAUCGGAACGUGUCCUGUAGCGGGGGAUAACCUAUCGAAAGAUGGACUAAUACCGCAUACGCUCUACGGAGGAAAGCGGGGGUUCUUGGGCAACUGAGGACCUCGCACUAUAGGAGCGGCCGAUAUCGGAUUAGCUAGUUGGCGGGGUAAAAGCCCACCAAGGCGACGAUCCGUAGCUGGUCUGAGAGGAUGAUCAGCCACACUGGAACUGAGACACGGUCCAGACUCCUACGGGAGGCAGCAGUGGGGAAUUUUGGACAAUGGGCGUAAGCCUGAUGCAGCGACGCCGCGUGAGGGAUUAAGGCCUUCGGGUUGUAAACCUCUUUCAGCAGGGAAGAAGCGAGAGUGACGGUACCUGCAGAAGAAGCACCGGCUAACUACGUGCCAGCAGCCGCGGUAAUACGUAGGGUGCAAGCGUUGUCCGGAAUUAUUGGGCGUAAAGAGCUUGUAGGCGGUUUGUCGCGUCUGCUGUGAAAUUUCGGGGCUCAACCCCGAACUUGCAGUGGGUACGGGCAGACUAGAGUGUGGUAGGGGAGACUGGAAUUCCUGGUGUAGCGGUGAAAUGCGCAGAUAUCAGGAGGAACACCGAUGGCGAAGGCAGGUCUCUGGGCCACUACUGACGCUGAGAA